AUUGAACGCUGGCGGCAGGCCUAACACAUGCAAGUCGAGCGGAUGAAGGGAGCUUGCUCCUGGAUUCAGCGGCGGACGGGUGAGUAAUGCCUAGGAAUCUGCCUGGUAGUGGGGGAUAACGUCCGGAAACGGGCGCUAAUACCGCAUACGUCCUGAGGGAGAAAGUGGGGGAUCUUCGGACCUCACGCUAUCAGAUGAGCCUAGGUCGGAUUAGCUAGUUGGUGGGGUAAAGGCCUACCAAGGCGACGAUCCGUAACUGGUCUGAGAGGAUGAUCAGUCAAACUGGAAAUGAGACACGGUCCAGACUCCUACGGGAGGCAGCAGUGGGGAAUAUGGGACAAUGGGCGAAAGCCUGAUCCAGCCAUGCCGCGUGGGUGAAGAAGGUUUUCGGUUUGUAAAGCACUUUAAGUUGGGAGGAAGGGCAGUAAGUUAAUACCUUGCUUUUUUGACGUUACCAACAAAAUAAACACCGGCUAACUUCGU
rnacentral:rRNA from 1 species